rnacentral:rRNA from 1 species
UUGAUCCUGGCUCAGAACGANCCGCUGGCGGCGUGCUUAACACAUGCAAGUCGAACGCGAAAGAGUUCUUCGGAACUUGAGUAGAGUGGCGCACGGGUGAGUAACGCGUAAGUAACCUACCCUCGCAUUUGGGAUAACCCACCGAAAGGUGUGCUAAUACCGGAUACGUCUCAUUUAAUAUCUUUUAAUGAGAGAAAGGUGGCCUCUGAUGGAAGCUACUGUGCGGGGAGGGGCUUGCGUACCAUUAGCUAGUUGGUAGGGUAAGGGCCUACCAAGGCGAUGAUGGUUAGCGGGUCUGAGAGGAUGAUCCGCCACACUGGAACUGGAACACGGACCAGACUCCUACGGGAGGCAGCAGUGAGGAAUAUUGCGCAAUGGGGGCAACCCUGACGCAGCGACGCCGCGUGGAUGAUGAAGGCCUUCGGGUUGUAAAAUCCUGUCAGAUGGGAAGAAGUGGUAAAUGAUUAAUAACCAUUAUACUUUGACGGUACCAUCAAAAGGAAGCACCGGCUAACUCCGUGCCAGCAGCCGCAGNGUAAUACGGAGAGGUAGCGAGCGUUGUUCGGAAUUACUGGGCGUAAAGCGCGCGUANGCGGAUGUAUAAGUCAGAUGUGAA